rnacentral:lncRNA from 1 species
UGGUUGCCGCCUCGGGGCGUCGCUGUCGCGGUCGCCGCGGCGGCCGCUUUCGUCCGUCCUGCCCCUCUCUGCCCCUGCCCAUUCCCUUCCCCUAAAGCAAAACAAUCCGGUGCAUGUGCGGCCUGUGGCCUGUGGCCUGUGGGUACUUGACCAAUGUUUAUCCGGUUUGGAAUUUGACGGGACAGUGUGGUAUUUUUCAGCAGCCUCGCGCAGAAGAAAAGAGAGAGGACUCACAACUCGGACGUUUGAUUUGAUCGGUUGCUGGCAACGCAACGAAUGCAGGAGCGCUCUGUCCGCUGCAGCGACGCGCGGUUUAUUGAUCCUUGUGUUUGUCUUUCUGGUCCUGUGGAUGCGACGGACAAUGGCAUAUCGCCAUAUCGGCAUGGUGCCUGACAUGAGCCCAUGCCAACUGGAUGGAGGUAGGGUCAAGGUUGCUUGCAGUGUGGGCUAGAUGUAGAAUUUUGGCUGUUGAUGGGUGAAAACUCCGGACUAUUUUGUACUUGUUCCGCUUGAGAGUAUAAUAUGCUGUAUAACCAUUCAACGAUCGGCUGACAAAUAUCUCUAAUAUAUAAUUCAUAUAU